UGCAAAAAAUUAAAUUUUUUAAAUUUAUUUUAUUUAAAAUAUAAAUAUAAUAUUUUUUUAAAAUUUUUAUAGAAUGUGAUCGUGUAUGUUAAUUUAAUAAGUUUUAAUUAAUUAUAAUUAUUAAAUUUGAUAAAAAAAAAUGAGAGAAUCGUUUAAAUUUUAAAGUUUGAUUUACAUAUUAAAAUUAAAUAAAUUAAAAAUUUUAAAUGUGUCGAUUAAUAAGUUGAAGAAUAUUAUAUAUAUCUACUCAUUUAUUUAUAAAUAGUAAAUUUAAAUGAUUAAUAAAUUUAUGCAAUUAUUUUAUGUUUAGUGAAGAUAAUCUCACCACUCUAUCUGAAAAGGUGACAAAAUUUACAAAUAUAACUAUCAGCUUCAUAUUACCAAACAGAAGAAAUGUAAUUGCAGCAGUUGCAACUGCGUAAAACCAAACAGACUAGGUGUAGUUACAACUGCAGCAUUUGUAACUGCAUGUAUUUCCAACUACAUUGUUUCUGUAACUACAUCCAACCAAACAGCCCCUAAUUGCUAAUACUUCUCCCAUAAGAAAAUAUUUAUUCAUUUUAAAUCUCCAACUUGU
rnacentral:lncRNA from 1 species